rnacentral:rRNA from 1 species
CGUAGGUGCGAGCGUUGUCCGGAAUUAUUGGGCGUAAGGGAUUGUAGGCGGUCCGUCGCGUCGAAGUGAAACUCAGGGCUCAACCCUGAGCCUGCUUUCGAUACGGGCGGACUAGAGGUAUGCAGGGGAGAACGGAAUUCCUGGUGGAGCGGUGGAAUGCGCAGAUAUCAGGAGGAACACCGGUGGCGAAGGCGGUUCUCUGGGGCAUUACCUGACGCUGAGAAUCGAAAGCGUGGGGAGCAAACAGGCUU